rnacentral:rRNA from 1 species
GGGUUGUGAGGUUAAGCGACUAAGCGUACACGGUGGAUGCCCUGGCAGUCAGAGGCGAUGAAGGACGUGCUAAUCUGCGAUAAGCGUCGGUAAGGUGAUAUGAACCAUUAUAACCGGCGAUUUCCGAAUGGGGAAACCCAGUGUGAUUCGUCACACUAUCAUUAACUGAAUCCAUAGGUUAAUGAGGCGAACCGGGGGAACUGAAACAUCUAAGUACCCCGAGGAAAAGAAAUCAACCGAGAUUCCCCCAGUAGCGGCGAGCGAACGGGGAGCAGCCCAGAGCCUGAAUCAGUGUGUGUGUUAGUGGAAGCGUCUGGAAAGGCGUGCGAUACAGGGUGACAGCCCCGUACACAAAAAUGCACAUAUUGUGAGCUCGAUGAGUAGGGCGGGACACGUGGUAUCCUGUCUGAAUAUGGGGGGACCAUCCUCCAAGGCUAAAUACUCCUGACUGACCGAUAGUGAACCAGUACCGUGAGGGAAAGGCGAAAAGAACCCCGGCGAGGGGAGUGAAAAAGAACCUGAAACCGUGUACGUACAAGCAG